GUAUCCUGGCUCAGGAUGAACGCUAGCUACAGGCUUAACACAUGCAAGUCGAGGGGCAGCAUGGUCUUAGCUUGCUAAGGCUGAUGGCGACCGGCGCACGGGUGAGUAACACGUAUCCAACCUGCCGUCUACUCUUGGCCAGCCUUCUGAAAGGAAGAUUAAUCCAGGAUGGCAUCAUGAGUUCACAUGUCCGCAUGAUUAAAGGUAUUUUCCGGUAGACGAUGGGGA
rnacentral:rRNA from 1 species